AAGACCUUGUGCUUUUGGAGCGGCCGAUGCCUGAUUAGCUUGUUGGUAAGGUAAAGGCUUACCAAGGCUUCGAUCAGUAGCUGGUCUGAGAGGACGGCCAGCCACACUGGGACUGAGACACGGCCCAGACUCCUACGGGAGGCAGCAGUGGGGAAUUUUGGACAAUGGGGGAAACCCUGAUCCAGCCAUGCCGCGUGAGUGAAGAAGGCCUUCGGGUUGUAAAGCUCUUUCAGCCGGAACGAAACGGUUACGGAUAAUACCCGUGACUACUGACGGUACCGGAAGAAGAAGCACCGGCUAACUACGUGCCAGCAGCCGCGGUAAUACGUAGGGUGCGAGCGUUAAUCGGAAUUACUGGGCGUAAAGCGUGCGCAGGUGGUUUUGUAAGUCAGAUGUGAAAGCCCCGGGCUCAACCUGGGAACU
rnacentral:rRNA from 1 species